AAAGUCGCGGUGGAUGCCGCCUGCACGGGUCCGGAUGUUUUCCAUCUGAUCGCGUCCCUGGCAAACGGCCCAUGCUUUGGAGCAGAGGAAGCAUUAAAACCAAAGACCCAAUGACCGCUAAAAACCGGGCAUUCUCAAGCGGUAUUUCGAGAGAAGUUACUUCUCUAAAGACCAAAGUUCAUCCAAAUGAAUCAAAGUUGUCUGGGCUUCAGUUUCCUUUUUAUAAAAUAAGCAACUAGAACUUGGUAAUCUCUACUGCCUGUGCCUAGCACUAAUUUUGUAUGGGUUAUGAGUCAAAAGUUUUCCACUU